GACAGAGGGUGCAAACGUUGUUCGGAAUUACUGGGCGUAAAGCGCGUGUAGGCAGUUUCGCAAGUCGGGUGUGAAAGCCCUGGGCUCAACCUAGGAAGUGCACUCGAAACUGCGAGACUUGAGUCCUGGAGAGGAAGGCGGAAUUCUCGGUGUAGAGGUGAAAUUCGUAGAUAUCGAGAGGAACACCGGUGGCGAAGGCGGCCUUCUGGACAGUGACUGACGCUGAGACGCGAAAGCGUGGGGAGCAAACAGGG
rnacentral:rRNA from 1 species